rnacentral:rRNA from 1 species
UACGUAGGGACCAAGCGUUGUUCGGAUUUACUGGGCGUAAAGGGCGCGUAGGCGGCUUAACAAGUCACUUGUGAAAUCUCCGGGCUUAACUCGGAACGGCCAAGUGAAACUGUCAAGCUAGAGUGCAGAAGGGGCAAUCGGAAUUCUUGGUGUAGCGGUGAAAGUGCGUAGAUAUCAAGAGGAACACCUGAGGUGAAGACGGGUUGCUGGCUGACACUGACGCUGAGGCGCGAAGCCAGGGAGCAAACGGG